rnacentral:lncRNA from 15 species
UUGUUCAUCUUUCCAAUAGCACUGUGGGAUGGAAACACUGGUCCCAUCAAAAAAGAAAUCCCUGUCCAUACACGAACUGAAGGAGGAAACAUUACAGUUAAAUGCUCCUUCUCUUCGUCUGGAAGCAGGAAGAUCUUCUGUAAGAGAGAAUGUGAAGGAAAAGACAUUCUCAUUGAAACAAAUGAGAGCAGAGCUCAGAGUGGCAGAUACAGCAUCGAAUAUGAAGAAGAACCUUAUGUUUCUGCAGUUCUGAAUGUGAGCAUCACAAACCUGACUAAGUCUGACUCGGGGCGGUACAGAUGUUGGUUGGACAGAAAACGGUCACCAGAUUCAACCAGGGACUUUGAGCUCAGAGUUGAAGAUGCUCCAACCACUUCAAAACCAAAGUGGAAAACCACCACCAAAGCACCUUUUACACCAUCAGUCCCAUCAGCCUCCACACCGACAACAACACAGAGUUUAAGCUCCAGUUCAGGAAGCUCCACACCUUCAUCAUCCUCCCCUGAAACCACCAACCAGCCUGAACAGCAACAGAGAGCUGCAGGUCCAGGUUUGCCGCUGUAUGUGAGUCUGACUCUGGUCGUCAUCAUCAUCGUAUUAUCAGCGGCUGUGCUGAUAUUCUGCAGGAAGAGGACCAGUAAACCCAAAGGUGAGAUUGCAGGAAACCAGGGGCCAGUGAGAGAAACACUAAUACAGAUGUGCAGUGAGGUGCAAAAUGCAGAAGCAAACCUAGAAAUUAGAAAACUUUGGUGUCUCAUGUGCUCUGUGAGCAAUUUUGAUUAAAGGGAGUGUGUCUGGGUUCAGUAUGUUACCAAACAUCUGUACAUCCACGACAUUGACUAUAUGUACCAUAAACACAACCACUAUACAGCUGCCAACUUUGCUUGAAUAAAACCAGGUGGACAUUUGUUUUGUAUUUGUGUUAAAGACACCUUUAAGGUGUCAGAGCAAUAAACCUUCCAUUGCUACUGUAGCACUGAAUGCUAGCUCUCACAUAAACAGUUAUUGAUUAUUAGUGCUAGCAGGCGAUCUACACUAGUUUUAGUCCUUUUCAUUCAUUCAUUAAAUACUCUUCAGAUGUGAUGGGUACGUGCAAAAUGGCUGCUGGGGGGUUUCCACAGUUUUGUAGUAUCUUCUUACAGGAUCAUCAAACUGUACUACAGUAAGAAAACCACGUGGCUCUGUAGUUGCUCGAGCCUCAACUGAACAAAAUUAAACAAAUCCACCUCAACGAGCAGAACAUGUAUCAUAAAGAGACGAUAACAUGCUACAUAAUGUUGCCUUUUACAGAAUAUCACACCUCAAUCAAAAUGAAUGAAAUCAAAUGAUUUUGUGCUCUAUCUACCAAUUAACUUAUUCAAUGAAAUGACUUCAUUAUCUAAUUUAUCAUAGAUUAUUCAACAAAAUACAGACUGCACAUUUUCAUUUAAGUAAAACAUUUUUAAAUGUAAAAAGUUGCUAAAGUCUGUUGAAACGUUGCUAUAGUUGAUAAAUCAAGUGAUAUGACAUCAUUACAUCGUAACAUAACUAUAUAGAUACAAGAUAUAAAAGAAUGGACAUUAAAAAACAUGAAGUCAAGCUGAACUGAACCAACUCAAUUAGCUUUAUUAUUAACUAUUAUUAUUUUUACAGACUGUGUCAUGAGUAGAGAGGAUCCAGACAUUAACUUUACAUCAUGAGAAAAAGAUGAAGCAUAAAUAGUCAAGUUCAAUCAUUUAUAAAGAUAUAUUAAGGAGUUCUGCAGACAGACUGUGGGGAUCAGAGGUUGGUCGGUACAAGCACACUCACUGUUGUUUCUGACUGACUGCUGAUUGGUCGACUCUUUGUUUUUCAGAACCUCCUGUGGAAACUGAGUAUGCUAAUGGGACAGAGGUGAGUUUGAGUACAUUUGGGAUAUUUCAGUGUCAUUAGUGUUUGUGACAGCAGCUGAUAUUAAUACAAACAGACCCCUGUUCUCUUCCUGCAGACCAACAGAGUGUAUGAGGAGAUCAGAGAGGAGGACAGACAGAGCAGAUCUCCUUCUGCAGAAAUAUCUACAGUUUACACUUACGCCAAAUACUCCAAACCAAAUGCAGUUGAAACCACAGAUGAGUACAGCCUUAUCACUGCAGCCGGUCCCCAGAACAAAGUGAGUAAAACUAUGGUCAGAUUUUAGGAUUUAGGCUUAAAACACAUUUAGGCUACAUCCACUAAUAUAACUUGACAUGGUAAUUUAGAUUUUUACACAUUUCAC